AGAACGAACGCUGGCGGCAUGCCUAACACAUGCAAGUCGAACGCCCCGCAAGGGGAGUGGCGGACGGGUGAGUAACACGUGGGAACCUGCCCAAUGGUCUGGAAUAACCGCGGGAAACUGCGGCUAAUACCGGAUAAGCCCGAGAGGGGAAAGAUUUAUCGCCGAUGGAGGGGCCCCGCGUCCGAUUAGGUAGUUGGUGGGGUAACGGCCUACCAAGCCUACGAUCGGUAGCUGGUCUGAGAGGAUGAUCAGCCACACUGGGACUGAGAUACGGCCCAGACUCCUACGGGAGGCAGCAGUGGGGAAUAUUGGACAAUGGGGGCAACCCUGAUCCAGCAAUGCCGCGUGAGUGAUGAAGGCCUUAGGGUUGUAAAGCUCUUUUGGCGGGGACGAUGAUGACGGUACCCGCAGAAUAACGCCCCGCUAACUUCGCGCCAGCAGCCGC
rnacentral:rRNA from 1 species